AACUUCCUGUACUGGAGCAGUCUUAGAACUGUAGCCACGUGGUACUGGUCGAUUUCUGCUCCCCGAGACAAAUUACAUAUAUAUCAUAGCUUGUUCUAGCGUGAGAGCGCGCCAACAAAUAAUCCAGGAUUUGCGAUCUUAGGAAGAAUUGUCCAAAGAAACGUGUACUAAUGAACUGACAUGCCGUGACAAAUAUCAGUUGAACGUUGGAAACUUUCAGCAAAAGAGGCGUAAGAAUCUGAGAGGUUACCGAUGGAGGCCGACCGUGUUCACACUGUUGGCGACGUGUUUUUGUUUCCUCUCUGUGUGGUUUUGUGUGUCUUGUGUGUUGCUGGAAAUGUCACAGUCAUUCUCACAAUUUUGGGAACUCCCAAAUUACGAUCCGGGAGUUCGUUGUUGCUGUUUAACCUCGGAGUCAGUGAUUUGCUGAAUGGAACUAUCAGAAUAACAGUUGUAGCUGACAGUUUCCUCAGAGGUUAUAACCAUAAUCAGAUGUCCUGUCCUGUGAUUGCCAUUUUGACGUGCCUGUUUUCUGUGGUGUCCAUAGUAACGAUCACUUGUGUGGCGCUUGACCGAUACUUUUCCAUCAUCCACUGCCUUCGUUACUCCUCCUGGUCACCCGUUAGGACAACGUCUACCUCCAUCAUCGUCUCUUGGCUCCUCGGCCUGGUAAGCGCUGUCCCCAGCGUCUCUGGACUGUGGGGGGCGGUCACCUAUGACUCAAGGAUGUACAUGUGUUAUGUCACGUGGAACUCAGCCCUACCGUACUCAAUUUUCACGUUUUUGGUGGCAUACGUGAUUCCAAUCGUGACAAUGGUGUAUGCAUAUCUUAGAAUCAUUGCAGUUGCAAGAGCUCACGCAAAAAAGAUUACUGAUUUGAAUUCCCACGUAAACAGGGGGGCCAGUGGCUCCACGGUGCCACCGCACGGACUCGUGGCUUUCGCCGUCGUGGACCCCGUGCGUCAACUUCCUGUCAUGGGUUUCUCAGGUGCACCUAAUUCUUUAGUGGAUUUUGACCUUCACAGCUUUAAUGGAAAUAGUCAUAGCAACUCGUCCUCAGAGAAAAGUCACUGCAAACAAAAAGCAAUGCUAAGACUUCUUUGGCAUAUAAUGGCCUUUGUUAUUUGUUGGACACCAUUUGUUAUUUACGAAUUUAAAUUUAUUUUCCAAAAGAGCGACAUUGAGUUUUCAUCUCUCUCACUAAUGAUUACAACAUGGUUGCUCUGUCUACAUUCAACGUGGAAUCCUUUUCUCUACGCAAUAUUAAAUGGAAGAUUCCGAAAGUUGUGCUCUCAGAUUAGCAAAAAGCAAACGAACGUCGGUAACGUGCGUGCGAGAUUUGAAUAGGUCCAAAAUAAUCAGCACAUUGAGUCAUCGGCGACCCCAGGUGACAGGUGAACAAGGUGAUACCAAGUCUUCUAAAUCCGAUACAACUCAUCUAACCAUGACGGACCACCACAACGUGCAACCAAGGGUACAGAACCUCAACGUUCCCGGAUCCCACAAACAACACGUUUGUCCAUAUCCAGAAGCAAGUUUUUUUAAUCGAGCCAACGGUAUGCAUAGAGAGCACAAUUACGCCACCAAAAGAAGUCUUCCAAGCGUCCUGGAAACUCUGCCCUCUGUUGAGUCUUUAGAUGAGGGUGUUUUCUUGGAUGAUGAAAUAGUAACAAAAAGAAACAGUCAAUGAACCACUAACAACACAGCGUCCUGACUCCUUUUAUAAUAUCGUUUUAAAAUACGAACUACAUGAUGUCGUAUUUUCAAACUUUAAACAUUUUUCUAUUUCUAGCACAUACAUGUAUCCUUGAAUUAUUUUUUGUACUGCAUGUGUUUGAUUGUUACUGUAUAAACAUCUAAUAAAAUGAAUAUGAAU
rnacentral:misc_RNA from 1 species